CCUACGGGUGGCAGCAGUGGGGAAUAUUGCACACUGGGCGCAAGCCUGAUGCAGCCAUGCCGCGUGUGUGAAGAAGGCCUUCGGGUUGUAAAGCACUUUCAGCGGGGAGGAAGGCGUUAAGGUUAAUAACCUUGUCGAUUGACGUUACCCGCAGAAGAAGCACCGGCUAACUCCGUGCCAGCAGCCGCGGUAAUACGGAGGGUGCAAGCGUUAAUCGGAAUUACUGGGCGUAAAGCGCACGCAGGCGGUCUGUCAAGUCGGAUGUGAAAUCCCCGGGCUCAACCUGGGAACUGCAUUCGAAACUGGCGGGCUAGAGUCUUGUAGAGGGGGGUAGAAUUCCAGGUGUAGCGGUGAAAUGCGUAGAGAUCUGGAGGAAUACCGGUGGCGAAGGCGGCCCCCUGGACAAAGACUGACGCUCAGGUGCGAAAGCGUGGGGAGCAAACAGGAUUAGAUACCCGAGUAGUC
rnacentral:rRNA from 1 species